UCUGAGGUGCCUGAAUAGAGCCGGUGACGAACCA
rnacentral:sRNA from 1 species